GUGUGAGAAACAUAGUAUCCGUUGAGUAGAUGCUGCUGUGUUUUAAAACUGUAUCCUCCUAGAACUCUAGACAAAUCCAAAUCAAUUUAACUAUAUGUAUGAGUAGUGUAUGUGGAUCUGCAUGCUAAUUUAACAGACUUAAUGAUAUCAAUUAAAUGUUUUAUUUUCUCAUUUUACAUGAAAUUACUUACUAAUGACAUUUGGCUUUCAGGAAUCCAGAAGGACAAAAAUGAUGCCAUGCCUUCUUGAACACUGAAGAAAAUGUAUGUACAUUGUAUAGUGGAGGUCGUGGAGAAUGGGUGUAUAUACAGAAUGAGGGACAGCUUAACUUUUGAUAUGUCUAGAGCAUGGAUAAAGCCAUCAUUCAAGGUACCAGACAAAGAUAAAGCAUGAUUUCUUUUAAUUAAACACUGCUAAAUGGGAUUAUAUUUUCUAAUCAGAAUCUGACCACCUUAAUUAUUGCUAUAACAUUAUUGUAAUGAUAAUGGUUGCUGGUGUAUUUUUUUCUCAAUAGAUUAGGCCAAAUUGUCACACUUCAAAGGAUAUGGUAACAUAAUGAUCAACCUUUUGUAAGUCGGUGUUUAGGACAUUAGAUGACUUGAGUCCAGUCGAGGUUUUGACUAUUUAAAAUUCGGAUUGUUUUUCCUGAAGUCGAGCCGAAUUUUCUUCUCCAAUAGCGAAGGAAGUUAAGUGAGUGUGAGUGGCAUAUAAAAUAGGAAAAGAAAGUUACUUAAAGAAAAAGAGUUGAGCACUUGAGCUAGUGAGUUUAAUAGGUGAAGUUUAUUCGAAUUUGAGUGCUAACAAAUAUGGGGUCAGGGAGAGGGUGGCUGUGCAUAUAAUCUUUUGGAUAUCUGUGAUGAAUUUUUCAGAAGAAAUUAUAAUUGGAGUUUUCGAGUUUUCAAGAGAAUUAGAUGCAGAGGAGGACCACCUGGUUGGUGCCACUUAUCAAAAGACUCAACUCAGUGUUUAGUGGAUAGAGAACAGAGAGUUUUGAGCCUGUGAUUCAAGAAACAAGCCUGCAAUUUGCUCCCAGUGCAAGCACAACUACAUGUACUAAUUCUAUUUUACUUGUUCCUUCGUAUUUGCGAGGCCAGAUCAGUAUCAGCUCAGUCCAAGAUUAGCCAGAUUCAAUCCAAGAUUCUUGUCGUUCAUUUUCUUUCCUUCAUUCCUUUACAAUACGUACUUAUAGUCUUUCCACUUCCAUUUGGUACUUACAUGAAGAAAGUUUGCCAUCUUUUUCUUUUCUCCUGAA